GGGUCAGUAGCUCGGUGGUAGAGCAAUUGACUACAGAUCAAUAGGUCAUGGUUCGAAUCUGGUUGAGCCC
rfam:Arabis alpina cultivar Pajares scaff_39900_1_contig_1, whole genome shotgun sequence.